GAUCAUGGCUCAGGAUGAACGCUGGCGGCGUGCUUAACACAUGCAAGUCGAACGAAGAUAAAAAGCAGCUUGCUGCUUCUAUCUUAGUGGCGGACGGGUGAGUAACGCGUGGAUAACCUACCUUACACAGGGGAAUAACAGCGAGAAAUCGUUGCUAAUACCCCAUACGUGUGGAUAUCGCAUGAUAUCGAUACAAAAACUCCGGUGGUGUAAGAUGGAUCCGCGUCUGAUUAGCUAGUUGGUGAGAUAACAGCUCACCAAGGCAACGAUCAGUAGCCGGCUUGAGAGAGUGAACGGCCACACUGGGACUGAGACACGGCCCAGACUCCUACGGGAGGCAGCAGUGGGGAAUAUUGCACAAUGGGGGAAACCCUGAUGCAGCGACGCCGCGUGAAGGAAGAAGGUUUUCGGUGUGUAAACCACUGUCGGAAAGGAAUAACGGAAGACUUCGGUCUUUAUGAAUGUACUUUUAGAGGAAGCACCGGCAAACUUCGUGCCAGCAGCCGC
rnacentral:rRNA from 1 species